UUCGGACAAAAAUCUGUGCUUAGCCAAGUCUCUAAGACCUCUGCUAUUCCAGAAAACACCUUUCAUUUUAUUUUUAUUUUGGAGGGUGUUUUUGGUUUUUUAGGAAGUUUGCCUUUCAUGAUAUUCUUGGCAUUGUUGUAUUUUUUCUUCCUACGGAGUGGAGAGAGAUCUAUUAUUUGAUCACCCUCAUAACAUUUUGCAGGAGUAUGCUGAUGUUUUUCCAAGUG
rnacentral:lncRNA from 1 species